rnacentral:sRNA from 1 species
CCCUCCUGUGCGCCCCCUCCCCGCCCCAUGGUCCCUGUUGUCGUUGCAGAAUCUGUUACUCAGACACCAGCUGCCCUCAGGAGGACCAGUACCCGCCCAACAUCGCUGUGAAGGUCAACCACAGCUACUGCUCGGUCCCGGGCUACUACCCCUCCAAUAAGCCCGGGGUGGAGCCCAAGAGGCCGUGCCGCCCCAUCAACCUCACCCACCUCAUGUACCUGUCCUCGGCCACCAA